rnacentral:tRNA from 1 species
GGCCCAGUGGCUCAGUUGGUUAGAGUGCCGGCCUGUCACGCCGGAGGUCGAGGGU